GAUGCCUCUUGUCUGAAAGCAGCGCAAGGUGACGGGUGCCCUUCGCGGCACUCCUGACUAAAGUCGCUUCAAAAAAUAAGUUUGAUCCGAAAAGUCAUUCGCAAGGCAGGGCAUGCAAACUAUUUUUUUUUUUUUUUUUUUGGGGGAGAUUGUUUUGUUUGUUUGUCUGUUUGCAGAAGUGAGAGGAAAGACGGAUGCCAUAUCUCCACUCUCUCGCUCCCGCCCACAUCAGCCCAUCAUCCAAUCUUCAACUUCACAACAUCCUUCCACCCAGACAAGAAGACCACAAAGAAUCGGCGCUUUCAAGCCACGGCAAGUUGAGAGAUGAACAUUCAAGUGGAGCACUCGGACGACAAGUGACCCCCGCCCGGUGCCGCCGUCACUUUAGUUGUCUGUGUACUCUUGGGAAGCAUCUACCUCCAGCAUGUCCAUGUUAUUCCUGAUAUUUUGCAAGACAGGUGUGAGACGUAAACUCCAGAUGCAUCCAGGGAAAAUGGUCAACUCUGUCUACAGUGAUGAGGAAAGGGGAAGCCAAGACAAAGAAAGCAAAGAGGAGACCAUCUUGGCCAUGUUGGGCAUCAUCGGGACCAUUCUUAACUUACUGGUCAUCAUCUUUGUCUACAUCUACACCACGCUGUAGAGGCGUUCGAUAUCAACAAGAGUCAUGAAGACCGGAGGACGACAGAGGCGGACCAAAGACAGGAACGGGAUCGAAUGGGAUCCAAGACCGUGCAGUGGAUGUGCAAAUCUGAAUACUGGCUCGCUUGUACUGACCGCACGAGGCUUAUGCUAACUUUAAAGUGCAGCUGCCCUCUUCACAUGGAUCACAAAGGACUUCAAGGACUUUUGGAAAAAGCCUUUUAUAAGACUAUACCGUCAUAAAUACGCAAUUCAGACUUAUUUCUGCGGAAUGAACAAUGUGAGUUUUUCUAGAGGUGUGUUUCUUAAUAAAACCUGAGAUCUGUUCAAUUAAAGUUUCUUUAUAUUAUUCUUCAGGAAAAAUCUGAGUGUGGCUGGUGUGUGUGUAAAAUCGGUGUCAGUUUAAUGUGCUGAAAUAGUUAAAGGCCAUUCCUUCUCCUCCUCUUUCAGAUAGCAAACUACUUGAAGUCAAGUAGUCCAGCAUUCAUCAGAUUCAAUAAUUGAUUGAAUUUUUUGCCCAUCCCUAAUGUCAACAACCCAAAUAGCCUGAAGCAUUAAAGCCAACAAAAUCGGAUCAUCUGAUUUUGACAAGCAGGGGGCAAUGCAGAGUUUUUCAUUCUAGUAUUCUAGUCAACAACUAAUUUAUUGUCUAAUUGUUUUAUUUAUAUAACUAUAAAUGAUCAUCAAGACUACAUUGUGAAAAACCUCAUGACUUCAAAAAGUGCCUGAGACCUUUUAGCGUCUCACUAUCACCUUCUCGUGGAAGGAGGCAAAAUUAGACCAAACGGGAAAGUGAAACGAUACCUCCUGGAAAAGCUGCAUCCUCAUCCGACCACCGUGGGGACUGCACGCCUCUAACGCGGAUCAAUGACGGAUUUCUGUUGGGGGAAAAAAAAAGGAAGGCCUAUUAAGCACACAGAGAAUCCCGAAUGUAUUCCUCAUUAUCGCCAGUGUUGAUUAUGUGUGAUGAAGCUAUCUUUCUGAAAUGUAUUGACACGAUUCAGCUGUUGAAGUGCAAUCUCCAAUGACACUCCUUGACUUGUAAUUUGCAAAUGUAAGGUUGUUGUUUUUUUCAUACUGCAAUCUUUUUUGUAAAAUAAAACAUCCAAGUAAUAAAGUGAUGUUGGUGUACAAGGA